rnacentral:rRNA from 1 species
AGAGGGAAACGUUACUGAUAAUACUGGAUAAGUUAGUAUAUCGCAUGAUAUGCAAAUGAAAGCUACGGCACUAAAGGAGAGCUUUGCGUCCUAUUAGCUAGUUGGUAAGGUAAGAGCUUACCAAGGCGAUGAUAGGUAGCCGGCCUGAGAGGGUGGACGGCCACAAGGGGACUGAGAUACGGCCCUUACUCCUACGGGAGGCAGCAGCG